rnacentral:rRNA from 1 species
AAUAUUGGUCAAUGGAGGCAACUCUGAAGCAGCCAAGUCGCGUGAAUGAUGACUGCCCUACGGGUUGUAAACUUCUUUUUUAAGGCAAUAAAGUGAGCCACGUGUGGCUUUAUGCAUGUACCUUACGAAUAAGGAUCGGCUAACUCCGUGCCAGGAGCCGCCGUAGUACGGAGGAUCCGAGCGUUAUCCGGAUUUAUUGGUUUUCAAGGGUGCGCAGGCGGAAUAUUAAGUAGGCGGUGAAGGUUUGCAGCUUAACUGUAAAAUUGCCGUUGAAACUGGUUUUCUUGAGUGUAUAUGAAGUAGGCGGAAUUUGUAGGGUAGCGGUGGAAUGCAUAGUUAAUACAAGGAACUCCGAUUGCGAAGGAAGCUUACUAAAAUACAACUGACGCUCAGGCACGAAGGCGUGGGUAUCAAACA